rnacentral:rRNA from 1 species
AGUGAACGCUGGCGGUAGGCCUAACACAUGCGAGUCGAACGGCAGCACAGUAAGAGCUUGCUCUUACGGGUGGCGAGUGGCGGACGGGUGAGGAAUACAUCGGAAUCUACUUUUUCGUGGGGGAUAAGGUAGGGAAACUUACGCUAAUACCGCAUACGACCUACGGGUGAAAGCAGGGGAUCUUUGGACCUUGCGCGAUUGAAUGAGCCGAUGUCGGAUUAGCUAGUUGGCGGGGUAAAGGCCCACCAAGGCGACGAUCCGUAGCUGGUCUGAGAGGAUGAUCAGCCACACUGGAACUGAGACACGGUCCAGACUCCUACGGGAGGCAGCAGUGGGGAAUAUUGGGCAAUGGGCGCAAGCCUGAUCCAGCGAUACCGCGUGGGUGAAGAAGGCCUUCGGGUCGUAAAGCCCUUUUGUUGGGAAAGAAAAGCAGCAGGUUAAUACCCCGCUGUUCUGACGGUACCCAAAGAAUAAGCACCGGCUAACUACGUG